GGGUUUUCAAUCCACCGGGAUACCCAUUUUUGCCUAAGCCUCCCUUGCGGGUUUUCGACUUACCGGGUGUACAAAUUCUUUUCAUUUUUUAUCCCUAACUUUUGCCCGAACCUUUCUUCUUCUUUUUUUUUUGGUUCGCCGGGAUGCCCUUUUUUGCCUGGACUCUUUUAUUCUUUUUUGUCCAGCGGGUCAAUUUAUGCGAAGUAUUUUUUGACUACAUCUGAGUUAACAGGGGACGGAAAAUCUUCACCAUCCAUAGUUGUAAGCAUCAAGGCUCCACCGGAGAAAACCUUUUUAACAACAUAUGGACCUUC
rnacentral:lncRNA from 1 species